CCCACCUGGGCAUGACACUGUCAAGGAAGUAACAGCUUUCCAGGAAGUGUUAAUGUCUUGGGGUCUUCAAACUAAUUUCUAACAAAAAAAAGGUCUUACUUUGGGACUGCCAGCACAUGUCUAUUUACAUCACAGCAGGUGGAGUUUGCUCAGUUGUCAUCACCAAAGACCUAAAACAUGUAACCGCAAGGAGACAGAGUUAUGGACCAGGACCCAAUGGACGGAAGGACAAGGACUGAAGGUGCCACCCACAACUGAAACUCUGAGGAAGACCAUGAGAUGCCGCUGAAAUUGCAAAAGAAACUUGAGUCACAUCUCCGUCCUCCUCUAACCAUUUUAUCCAGGACGAGGAAUUGGAAGUGUGUGGAGGAGGAUUUCCAGAACAUCACAUCUUCCCUUGAGGCAGUCAAGCGCGACGCUUGCAUAUGAAAUGCAUUCGGUCAUCCCCCUGGCAACGGAAGGAAAAGGUGCAUUGAGUGAAACGAGAGCAGAUUGCUUCUAUUCUUUAUUUAGAGAGUUAUUCUAGACACUGAGUCACAGAUGCCCUGCCAUCAUAAAAAUCCUUCCUGCUCGAUUAAGGCUGUUGGAGGAAAAUGUUGAAGGCUCAGGUCUCUGUGGGGAAGCAUGAAAUGCUAUCAUGUUUUUUUUUUUUUUUUUAAUUUGUCUCAAACAUGUUUUUUUUUUCCAUUUGUAAAUAUGUCACAGAUUUUGGCUACUGACAUUAUAUUCCUUCUGAGACAGUCGGAUAGCAGGAUACAGACAAAGUUGACGCUGUAACAUAAAUAGUGUGAAUUUUAACCAUGAAAGGAGUGAGCACAGAGCUACUAGACGUGUGUGUGAUGUUCAAUGCAUCUGUUAACAGGCAGGCUCCUUUAUGAAAUGUGCUGUCGUUCACACUGUUUGGCUAUGGGGCUUGGCCAUAAACCUAAAUGUACUUGUAUUAAUGUGUUUCAGAUGUUCGUGGGGUGUAAUGUGCUACAUGUUGUCGGUUUCAGUUCCUUUAUGUAGCUUAAAUUGUCCUCCAUGUACUAGAGCCCCAAACCAACAAUAAGCUGAUAUUAUUGGCCAAUAUUAGCUUAUCACAGAUAUAUAACGGUAUCUGGACAUAAGUAACAGGCAUUUCUGUACUGCAAUAUCUUAAGACGUGGUGGAGGUAAUUUAAUUAAAUUUUUUGUCCACCAGAGAGCACUGUGUUUAUUUUUAGCCACACAAGUGGCUUGGGUAACUAAUUUGUCCAAAAUGAAAUCUCAACAACUAUUGGAUUUAUUACCAUGUAAUGUUGCUUAUUGGCCUUAGUGAUCCUCUGACCUUUCCUCUACUGCCACCAUAAAGUUGAGAUUUAUAGUUUUUAGUAAAAUGUUUUGUUUGUUAAUGACAAAAAAA